AACACAGGUGCUGCAUGGCUGUCGUCAGCUCGUGUCGUGAGAUGUUGGGUUAAGUCCCGCAACGAGCGCAACCCUCGCCCUUAGUUGCCAUCAUUCAGUUGGGCACUCUAGGGGGACUGCCGGUGAUAAGCCGAGAGGAAGGUGGGGAUGACGUCAAGUCCUCAUGGCCCUUACGGGCUGGGCUACACACGUGCUACAAUGGCGGUGACAGUGGGAAGCGAACCCGCGAGGGUAAGCAAAUCUCCAAAAGCCGUCUCAGUUCGGAUUGCACUCUGCAACUCGAGUGCAUGAAGUUGGAAUCGCUAGUAAUCGUGGAUCAGCAUGCCACGGUGAAUACGUUCCCGGGCCUU
rnacentral:rRNA from 1 species